rnacentral:rRNA from 1 species
GACGAACGCUGGCGGCGUGCUUAACACAUGCAAGUCGAACGGAAAGGCCCUGCUUUUGUUGGGUGCUCGAGUGGCGAACGGGUGAGUAACACGGGAGUAACCUGCCCUUGACUUUGGGAUAACUUCAGGAAACUGGGGCUAAUACCGGAUAGGAGCUCCUGCUGCAUGGUGGGGGUUGGAAAGUUUCGGCGGUUGGGGAUGGACUCGCGGCUUAUCAGCUUGUUGGUGAGGUAGUGGCUUACCAAGGCUUUGACGGGUAGCCGGCCUGAGAGGGUGACCGGCCACAUUGGGACUGAGAUACGGCCCAGACUCCUACGGGAGGCAGCAGUGGGGAAUAUUGCACAAUGGGCGGAAGCCUGAUGCAGCAACGCCGCGUGCGGGAUGACGGCCUUCGGGUUGUAAACCGCUUUCGCCUGUGACGAAGCGUGAGUGACGGUAAUGGGUAAAGAAGCACCGGCUAACUACGUG